UGUGUGUGUGUGUGUGAGAGAGAGAGAGAGAGAGGGAGAUAGAUAGAGAAAGAUAGCUAUUUGGAUUAGACAUGAGAUUAUUUGAAAACAAUAGUAUUGAAGCAUAACAAAAACGGUAAGACUAUAAACUGGUCUGAUCAGUUUUGUCAUGACUUAAAAGUUAUGAAAUAGUGUUUGGAAAUCCGUAACCGUUAGAUUUAAUUUAAUUGGUUUUGAAUAUUAUUUUAUUACACAAGUAGCCGUUACGAGUAAUAAAUAGAUGAUAUAGGCGAUUGGGCAUUCUUCAACGGCCUCCUCUUUGAGGGAGAGAGAGAGUGUGUGUGUGUGAUAGAGAGAGAGAGAGAGGGAGAUAGAUAGAGAGAGAGAUAGCUAUUUGGCUUAGACAUGAGAUUAUUUGAAAACAAUAGUAUUGAAGUAUAACAAAAACGGUAAGACUAUAAACUGGUCUGAUCAG
rnacentral:lncRNA from 1 species